ACCCGCACAAGCGGUGGAUGAUGUGGUUUAAUUCGAUGCAACGCGAAAACCUUACCCACCUUUGACAUGUACGGAACUCGCCAGAGAUGGCUUGGUGCUCGAAAGAGAACCGUAACACAGGUGCUGCAUGGCUGUCGUCAGCUCGUGUCGUGAGAUGUUGGGUUAAGUCCCGCAACGAGCGCAACCCUUGUCAUUAGUUGCUACAUUUAGUUGGGCACUCUAAUGAGACUGCCGGUGACAAGCCGGAGGAAGGUGGGGAUGACGUCAAGUCCUCAUGGCCCUUAUAGGUGGGGCUACACACGUCAUACAAUGGCUGGUACAGAGGGUUGCCAACCCGCGAGGGGGAGCUAAUCCCAUAAAACCAGUCGUAGUCCGGAUCGCAGUCUGCAACUCGACUGCGUGAAGUCGGAAUCGCUAGUAAUGGCGGAUCAGCAUGCCGCCGUGAAUACGUUCCCGGGCCUU
rnacentral:rRNA from 1 species